rnacentral:lncRNA from 1 species
UGGAGGUAGCUUUAGCUUUGACAGGCGGGACGGGUGUGUUCACAGUCCCUAGUGAGAUUGGGUCUGAGAAAGAUUUUUUCUAUAGAUAGUAUUGGAUCAUGAUAGUAUAAUAGCAUAUAGCUGUAGAUUAUUUUCAGUUAUUUACUAUCAUUAAGCAUAUCAUCUGUAGACUUAGUGGGUGAGCCGUAGAGGUCGGUAGCGGUACCCACUGAGGACUACUUGUAAGGAAGUGAAUUCUCGAAAUCCGAGAGUUGAAUUUCGACUAGAAUUGACUUGUUGUCGACUUGGUAUGCUUUGGAAAGUCC